UACAGAGGUCUCAAGCGUUGUUCGGAUUCAUUGGGCGUAAAGGGUGCGUAGGCGGCGCGGUAAGUCGGGUGUGAAAUCUUGGAGCUUAACUCCGAAACUGCAAUUCGAUACUGCCGUGCUUGAGGACUGGAGAGGAGACUGGAAUUUACGGUGUAGCGGUGGAAAUGCGUAGAUAAUCGUGAAGGAAGACAGUGGCGAAGG
rnacentral:rRNA from 1 species